rnacentral:rRNA from 1 species
GAUGAACGCUGGCGGCGUGCCUAACACAUGCAAGUCGAGCGUGAACCCUGCGAAUGAAACUUCGGUCGAUUUUGCAGGGGGAAAGCGGCGGACGGGUGAGUAACGCGUAGGUAACCUGCCCCAUACUGAGGGAUAGCCUCGGGAAACCGGGAUUAAUACCUCAUAACACCGUAUAUUCGCAUGGAUGUGCGGUCAAAGAUUUAUCGGUAUGGGAUGGGCCUGCGUCUGAUUAGCUGGUUGGUGGGGUAACGGCCUACCAAGGCGACGAUCAGUAGCCGACCUGAGAGGGUGAUCGGCCACAUUGGAACUGAGACACGGUCCAAACUCCUACGGGAGGCAGCAGUGGGGAAUAUUGCACAAUGGGCGAAAGCCUGAUGCAGCAACGCCGCGUGAGCGAAGAAGGCCUUUGGGUCGUAAAGCUCUGUCGGGUAGGAAGAUAAUGACGGUACUACCCGAGGAAGCCCCGGCUAACUACGUGCCAGCAGCCGCGGUAAUACGUAGGGGGCGAGCGUUAUCCGGAAUUACUGGGCGUAAAGAGUGCGUAGGUGGCUGCUUAAGCGUGAGGUGAAAGGCAAUGGCUUAACCAUUGUGAGCCUCGCGAACUGGGUGGCUUGAGUGCAGGAGAGGAAAGCGGAAUUCCUAGUGUAGCGGUGAAAUGCGUAGAUAUUAGGAGGAACACCAGUGGCGAAGGCGGCUUUCUGGACUGCAACUGACACUGAGGCACGAAAGCGUGGGGAGCAAACAGGAUUAGAUGCCCUGGUAGUCCACGCCGUAAACGAUGAGCACUAGGUGUCGGGGUCGCAAGACUUCGGUGCCGCAGUUAACGCAUUAAGUGCUCCGCCUGGGGAGUACGCACGCAAGUGUGAAACUCAAAGGAAUUGACGGGGACCCGCACAAGCAGCGGAGCAUGUGGUUUAAUUCGAAGCAACGCGAAGAACCUUACCAGGGCUUGACAUCCCUCUGACAGGUGGGUAACGCCACCCUCUCUUCGGAGCAGAGGUGACAGGUGGUGCAUGGUUGUCGUCAGCUCGUGUCGUGAGAUGUUGGGUUAAGUCCCGCAACGAGCGCAACCCUUGUCAUUAGUUGCCAUCAGGUGAUGCUGGGCACUCUAAUGAGACUGCCGGGGAUAACUCGGAGGAAGGUGGGGAUGACGUCAAAUCAUCAUGCCCCUUAUGUUCUGGGCUACACACGUGCUACAAUGGCCGGUACAGCGAGAGGCGAACCCGCGAGGGGGAGCAAAACUCCAAAACCGGUCCCAGUUCGGAUUGCAGGCUGAAACUCGCCUGCAUGAAGUCGGAGUUGCUAGUAAUCGCGAAUCAGCAUGUCGCGGUGAAUGCGUUCCCGGGUCUUGUACACACCGCCCGUCACACCACGGAAGUUGGGGGCGCCCGAAGUCGGUCAGUAAAUAGGCUGCCUAAGGCGAAACCAAUGACUGGGGUG